UUAUCACAUAACCAGAGGGGUGUUCCACGAACGGAGGUUUAACAAACACUGAGUUAACGCUGAACUCUAGGUUGAUUGACCCUGUGCCGACCAACCCAGAGUUUUCGGUUCCACAGCAGCGGUUAUGCAUUAGUUCAAUCAACUCGGGGUUGGUUAACACAGGGUUGUGCGCGUCCACGCCAAACUUAAAAAGACGUGAUGUAUGGAUCAUGGAAACCCUGAUCGAUAUGGCGAAACGGGCCGCUUAUUUCAAUGAAAUGGAACUCCAGGUUCUCCUGGAGAGCUAUGACGAGGAGAAGGACAUUAUCACAAGAAAAGGGAACGCUAAAACCUCUGGAACCCGGAGAACCAAAGCCUGGCAGCGGAUCGCUGACCGCGUAAAUGCGUUAGUUACACGUCAAAAGCAUGAUCCUUAAUAUUUGAGCCAUGAAUAUAUAAAUAUCCCAGUUAAGCAUUCUUAAAGAUCCUACCACAUAACCCCUUUCUUCUAAAACAACAUGUACUCCGAUUGCUUCCAAGCGGUCAGAGGAUCAAGUAUAAAAAUGAAGUAUAAAAAACAUACAAACUGGUAAGCUUUUCCCACCAUCGUAUUGGUAUAAAUUUAAAUAAGCCAUUUUUUUAAGCCAAUCGUGAAAAGGCCGACAGUCGGCAGACUGGAUCUGGCCCUCAAAUUGUCUUGACCCCGCCACCUGGAGGUACCUACCACCUCAGAGAGUCAUGGGCCAUACACACUGGUUGAAUGUAGGUUUUUGUGUUUUCUUGUAUUUUAGAUUUUUUUUGCCUUCGAAGUAACACAUGCAAACCGUGUGCUUGCCACAGCGCAUACUAGGCCUAUUCCAAAUGUUUCUUUUUUUGGUAACUGGGUAGAAAACCUAAAAGUGACAAUUCAUCAACUUCACAGAUCAAGAUGGAUCAGUGCUUGUAAUGAAGCCGCCGGCUACGAUCGAACAUUCUCCAGUGGAUGCAAGUCCGUUAGGACUAUUUUAUACUUUAUGUUGUAAAUGCCUCUCGGCAUAGUACUCAGACAAUAUUGCUCUUUGUAUGAUAGGAGGCCGAUACAAAUCUUGGAUGGGUCAUCUGAAACGACUGUGAUGUGCUCAGCAUCUCCAGCAUUAUAGCCUAGAUAAAA